UACGGAGGGGGCUAGCGUUGUUCGGAAUUACUGGGCGUAAAGCGCACGUAGGCGGCUUUGCAAGUUAGAGGUGAAAGCCCGGGGCUCAACUCCGGAAUUGCCUUUAAAACUGCAUCGCUAGAAUUGUGGAGAGGUAAGUGGAAUUCCGAGUGUAGAGGUGAAAUUCGUAGAUAUUCGGAAGAACACCGGUGGCGAAGGCGACCAUCUGGACGGAUACUGACGCUGAGACGCGAAAGCGUGGGGAGCAAACAGG
rnacentral:rRNA from 1 species